GGAGGGAUGGCCGAGUGGUUGAAGGCGGCGGUCUUGAAAACCGCUGUACUGAGAGGUACCGUGGGUUCGAAUCCUACUCCCUCCGCCA
rnacentral:tRNA from 1 species